CGAGAAGGUUUCGAUUACUGGCUCAGGAUGAACGCUAGCUACAGGCUUAACACAUGCAAGUCGAGGGGCAUCAUGAAGUUUGCUUGCAAACUUGAUGGCGACCGGCGCACGGGUGAGUAACGCGUAUCCAACCUUCCCCUUAGUAGGGCAUAGCCCGGCGAAAGUCGGAUUAAUACCCUAUGUUAUUCGUAGAGGACAUCUGAAAUGAAUCAAAGAUUUAUCGCUAAGGGAUGGGGAUGCGUCUGAUUAGGUAGUAGGCGGGGUAACGGCCCACCUAGCCUACGAUCAGUAGGGGUUCUGAGAGGAAGGUCCCCCACAUUGGAACUGAGACACGGUCCAAACUCCUACGGGAGGCAGCAGUGAGGAAUAUUGGUCAAUGGACGAGAGUCUGAACCAGCCAAAGUAGCGUGCAGGAUGACGGCCCUAUGGGUUGUAAACUGCUUUUAUACGGGGAUAAAGUGAGGGACGUGUCCCUUUUUGUAGGUACCGUAUGAAUAAGGACCGGCUAAUUCCGUGCCAGCAGCGGC
rnacentral:rRNA from 1 species